AUCCAGCUGAUGAGUCCAAAAUAGAACGAAAUAUGAGUCUUGGAU
rfam:Schistosoma mattheei strain Denwood, Zambia genome assembly, scaffold: SMTD_scaffold0012844